rnacentral:tRNA from 1 species
GCUCCCAUGGCGCAGUGGUCACUGCACUCGCCUUGCACGCGGGAGACCCGGGUUCGAUUCCCGGUGGGGUUA